rnacentral:rRNA from 1 species
UACGAAGGGGGCGAGCGUUGUUCGGAAUUACUGGGCGUAAAGGGCGCGUAGGCGGCCCCUUUUGUCGCGUGUGAAAGCCCCGGGCUCAACCUGGGAGGUGCGCGCGAAACGGGGGGGCUUGAGUUCGGGAGAGGAGAGUGGAAUUCCCAGUGUAGAGGUGAAAUUCGUAGAUAUCGGGAGGAACACCGGUGGCGAAGGCGGCGACCUGGGACAAUACUGACGCUGAGGUGCGAAAGCGUGGGGAGCAAACAGG